CACCAAUUUCACAUAUCUUUUUGAAGGAUUUGGGUGGUCCUUAAAAGGACCUUUGGUUGCAUGAGUUGCUGGGUUACUGUCUCAUCUAUGGUGCUGGUAAUAGUUUUCUCUUGCAGUUAGUACUAUGGCUAAGAAAGGCAGGUACUGGGUCCAACUGUCCUUUUCUGUAAACAUCUUGCUCUUUACUUUUUAGCUUGGCCUCUCUAUGUUCCACUAUUUUUUCCCCACUCUGUGUAACAAUGUGUAAGACAUCUAUGUUUAACUUCAGGGUUUUUUUCAUAGUCUUGCUUGUAGGUAAACUGUUUGUCCAUGCU
rnacentral:lncRNA from 1 species